rnacentral:lncRNA from 13 species
UUUGCAGAAAAACAGAUUUCAGUUCAGAGAGCAUAUCACCACACACCAGAAGCAUGCCAGGUACUGUGUUAAGCACAGGUGGCUUAAAUGGAGAUGGCUCCUCUACUCAGAUUGUGCAGCCUAGUAGAAGACAAACAUGAUUUUUAUGGAGAAGUUACAGAAACAUGUGCUAGUUACCAUCAGACCAUAGGCUACCGACUUCAGCCUACUGCAAGGACACCCUCUGUGGCAGGGAAGAUGGCACAGGAUGUGAGUUCAGCAGUUCUAAAAGAGUGGCUACUUGGGGCUAAGAAAAAAGCUCUGCCCUGAAGGUCAAUGGGAAGGACAGCUAGUGCAGCUCCUGAGUGCAGACCAAGGAAGGCAUUCACCUGCAUGAAAAUUGGGCCUGCUGUGCAUGACAGUGAACUACUACUACUGGAUGGAUACUGAUGCCUUUAAGAGAGUCCUAAUUUCAAUCUUCUGUCAUGGAGAAUAUCCAAUCAAAUUAGAAGUGAAACAAGUCAAAGUAAGCUUUUUUGAAAACAAUAUUAUCUGUGAUUUUGGUGAAAAGAUACAUUUCUCCAUUAAAAUUGUAUUUAUUUUUAAAAAAUGUCAAUAUGGUUCGUGCCCCAUUUACAACCCAACACACUUAGAUUAUCCAUCAUUGCCACCAGAUACAAAAGUUGCAACUUUUUUUAUUUUCAUAAACUUACUAUUUUGACAUGUAAAGAAGAGUCAUUUUGUAAAAUUCUAAACUUUUACAAAGGUAAGAAAUGGUGAAAUAAUAACAACAUUUGUCUUCUGUCAAAAAAUAUUGACAUGAUAUUACUAUAGCAAAAUUGGUUUGUGUUGUGAAGUAUGUCUCAAAGAUAAAUCAGACUUUAUAUAUUUUUUUAAACAAUCUAAAUUGUUCUUUGGAUAUUAAUGUCUAUAAAAACAUCAGGACAUAUAAGUGCAGGAAGAGAUUCUAUAAAGUAGACAUAAAAUUUGGAUAAGAACCUUGAAAUUCCCUGAACACUCAUAUGCCACAUUUGACAUUGACUCAAGUCAUUUUCGAAGUAUAAUGUGACAUAUUUCAUAUUUCAUUAGUGUCUAAAUUGUGGACUUCUUGGGCAAAAUAAAAGCCCUUUGUAAAUUGCUAAGAAAUGACUG